rnacentral:lncRNA from 1 species
UCAGAAUCUGGUAGAGCUCCUGGAGCAACCUGCAUGAUGUCACUGCUAUAGCACUAUGAUUUUCAUAUUACAUACUCUUGAGACACUUUCCAGAGUAUAUAUGGCUAUGUUAUAGCAUGCUUUGAGAACUAGAUUAAGUAAUUCCUGCAAGGCAAACCAAGUGAUGAUGAGCUCUCUCAGCUUCUGUUUGUCUGAUAAACUUUCUAUUCUCUCUCACUUCUGAAGGAAAGCUUUGCCAGGUGAAUAACAACAUCAAGAAGAAAAUGGAAGCUAUCAGAAAAGCCUCUACCAUCCCCACCACAUCUACCUGUCUACCUGUGUGUGUUCCUAAACUCCAGCUUCUCUCAUGAAAGAACUCUCCAUGCAUCUGGCUUAAGGUCAUCCCAUCCCUGAUCUCCACUUAAGGUUCAUGGCUGGAGGGAGCUUGCCUUGAGACUCAAAUGAGAUUUUGAACUUUAAACGAUCGAGUUGUUGCUGAAACAGGUUUCUAUUCGUCAUCAAAAGACCUUCAGGCAAUUAAUAAGAGACAUGAAUGAGAAUGAAAGUGAUGAUAUAAAGCAUGUUAAUAAGUGUAUAAAGGAAACAUGACUCACUGAGAAAAGUAAAUACAGCUCCAUUGACUAAAUUCUAGUGGUAAAACUAACUGAUAAUGAUAAAAGAAGCCCAGAGUCAUAUAACAACAUUUAUUAGGGAAACUGCACAUUCAACUAGUGAUAACAAAAGCAAAAUAUUAACAGAAAAUAUGGGCAAGGAUUAUGGUUUCUGAAUGUUGGAAUUAGAAAAGCUAAAAUGUCCCAUGCAAAACAUUUAUUUCAAAUUAAAAUGUUCUUUAAUAACAAACUAGUUUGCAUUUCAAACAAUUACUGAUAAAGAUUUCUGCAUUAAUAGGCCCUAUAACUCAUUAUAUGAAUUGAUAAAUAUAGUUACACAGUCAAAUAGGAAAAGUUUGUCAUUUUUCCUAUUUUUUAUGCCCUCUAUUUGUUCACAUCAAUGAAUAUAAAGAAAAAUGUAAUGUGUUAAUUUUCUUUCAGACAGGGUGUUACUCUGCCAUCCAGGCUGGAGUGCAGUGGCAUGAUUACAGUUCACUGCAGCCUCAACCUCCUGGGCUCAAAUGAUCCUCCCUUCUCAGCCGCCUGAGUAGCUAUGACUACAGGCAUGCACCACCAUGCCCAGCUAAUUAAAAAAAUUUAUGUAUAUAUAAAUCAUGUCUUAUUAUGUUGCUUGGGUUGGUCUCAAACCUCUGGACUCAAGCAAUGCUCCUGUCUCAGCCUCCCAAAGUGCCAGGAUUACAGGUAUGAGCCACCACACCCAGCCUAAUAUGUUAAAUUAUUCUGAAUUUUAACUCUUAUCACCAACGUGUAAAACAAUAAAAAUGUACAUUUACUUUAAUCGAACAUUACAAAAAACUAAUAUUUAUGUCUAUAUCUUGAUCUAUAUAUUAAACAAGUUAGUAUGAAAGUUAUCAAAAUCACAGUAGUAACAAAUUACUAAAGUACAUAAGCAGACAAUAGUCUCAUGAAGAAGUAUAAUUAGUAAACAAACAGGAAAAAUAUUUUUAACUUUGUGAUAUCCAAAAACUAAAGUAAAAAUAAGACUUUAACUUUGCUUAUAAAAUCAGCAAAAUUAAUUUAAACUUCUAGAGUAGUAAAACUCUAUGCUUUACAGGUAGACAAGGAGGAACAUUGGUUUUGGUGUUUGACAAAACAUUUUGGAUUUGAAUCCGAGAUCUCUCAAUUGCUAUGUGAUUUAAAAUAAAUUCUUAAUAUGCCUGAGCCUCUUAUUUUUUUCCUUUGUGCAAACCUGGGGAUAACAGUAUUUUUCUUUUGGGAUUGUAAAGAGGUGAAUAAAAUAAGGAUUAUUUAUGUUUUUUCUCCAUAAUCAUUACCAGUAUCUGACAUAUAGUUGACACUUGAUAUUUGUUAAACUAAUAAAUUUUUAAAAUGUAAUGUGUUGUUUGUUUCUUUGUUUGUUUUGAGAUAGGGUCUCACUAUGUCUUCUAGGCUGGUGCACAGUGGUGCUAUUAUGGUUCACUGCAGACUCAACCUUCUUCUAAAGAUUGAUGUCUGUGGCUACCAAGAUUCGUAUGUUGAAACCUACUCACCAAUGUGUUGGUAUUAAGAGGUGAAGCCACUGGGUGGUGAUUGGGUCAUUAGAGCAGAGCCCUAAUAAAUUAGAUUAUUGCCCUCCUGAAAGAGAACAUAGUGAGCUGCCUUGCCCCUUUUACCAUUGGAGGGUGCAGAGAGAAGGCACCAUCGAUCAACCAGUAAUUGAGCCCUUACCAGACACAGAUCUGCUGGUACCAUGAUCUUGGACUUUCCAGCCACCAGAACUGUGAGAAAUAAAUUUCUGUUGUUUGCAAGCCUCCUAGUUUAUUGUUGUCAUAAAUUUAUUUAAUAUAGUUGCUGCCUUGGCAUCAAUUUAUAGACCUGACAUAAGUUGCUUGAAACUUAGUUGUACCACAUCACCUUUGGCCUAGUUAAAACUUACCCUCCCAAUGUGGUUGUUUAAGAUACGCCUUCCUGGGCCGAGCGUGGUGGCUCACGCCUAUAAUCUCACCCAAGGCCGAGGUCAGGAGAUUGAGACCAUCCUGGCUAACAUGGUGAAACCCCAUCUCUACUAAAAACACACAAAAAAACAAAAAAUUAGCUGGGCAUGCUGGCGCGCACCUGUAGUCCUAGCUACUCGGGAGGCUGAGGCAGGAGAGUUGCUUGAACCUGGGAGGUGGAGGUUGCAGUGAGCUGAGAUCACACCACUGCACUCCAGCCAGGGAGACAGAGCAAGACUCUAUCUCAAAAAAAAAAAAAAAAAAAAAAAAGAUAUGCCUUUCUUAAUUUAUCAUCUCACUGAUCCAAAACCCAACACAUUCCACAGCUGCUGACAAUGGUAAAACCUAAUGGUCAAUACCAGAGUCAUGCAAACAAAUUAUCCUAGAAUGUGUUUUCCUUAAAUUGGCCAAUCCAUAACCCCAUUGGAAAACCUAAGAAAUAAUAUAUAAGAACCUUAAUAAAGGCGUAGCCCUGCAGGUUCUCUCUCUCUCUCUCUGUCUUUUCCCCUUUCUCUUUCUCUCUUUCUCUCUCCCUCUGUUCACCUGCUGGUUAAGUUUCUCUCACCUCCAGAUUUCCCACCAGCCCCUAUUUGUACCCCUAACCUCUCUUAGACUUGAGAAUAAUACAUUUCUUCCAUUAUAUGCAUUUUGGUUUCACUCCCUCAUUGUGUCUUACCUAACAGACCCACCGACCGUAACUCUCUACCCCAUCAGUGCUCUCUUAGAGGGUAGAUAUCUGGCUUAUGGUCACUCUCCAGAGAGACCUUAAGAUCAAAUUAGGCUCCCUCUCCCUCUCCCUCUCCCUCUCCCUCUCCCUCGCCCUCGCCCUCGCCCUCUCCCUGUCCCUCUCUUUCCAAGGUCUCCCUCUGAUGCCGAGCCGAAGCUGGACUGUGCUGCUGCCAUCUCGGCUCACUGCAACCUCCCUGCCUGAUUCUCCCGCCUCAGCCUGCCGAGU